rnacentral:rRNA from 2 species
AUCAAGCGCGAGAAGGGCGUUUGGUGGAUGCCUUGGCAGCAAGAGGCGAUGAAGGACGUGUUACUCUGCGAUAAGUCCUGGGGAGCUGAGAAAAAGCUUUGAUCCAGGAAUCUCCGAAUGGGGCAACCCACCUGACAGACUGUUAUAAUUGCCGCAAGGCAGCUUAUAAUGGGCUGAAACAGGUACUUAAGGACUGAAUACAUAGGUCUUUAAGAGCAAACCCGGGGAACUGAAACAUCUAAGUACCCGGAGGAAAGGAAAUCAAUUGAUACUCCCCUAGUAGUGGCGAGCGAACGGGGACCAGCCGAGCCUUGAGAGUGAAUGGAAUGGUCUGGAAAGGCCAACCACAGCGGGUGACAGUCCCGUACAUGAAGCUCGAUGGGACGUAUUAAGUAGGGCGGGACACGUGUAAUCCUGUCUGAAGAUCGGGGGACCACCCUCGAAGGCUAAGUACUCCUUGCUGACCGAUAGCGAACCAGUACCGUGAGGGAAAGGUGAAAAGCACCCCGACGAGGGGAGUGAAACAGUACCUGAAACCGAGCGCCUACAAUCAGUCGGAGCUUCCUUGCGAAGUGACGGCGUACCUUUUGUAUAAUGGGUCAUCGACUUGGUCUAUCCAGCAAGCUUAAGCCGUUAGGUGUAGGCGCAGCGAAAGCGAGUCUUAAUAGGGCGUCGAGUUGGAUGGAUCAGACCCGAAACCGAGUGAUCUAGGCAUGACCAGGAUGAAGGUACGGUAACACGUACUGGAGGUCCGAACCCACACCUGUUGAAAAAGGUCGGGAUGAGUUGUGCCUAGGGGUGAAAGGCCAAUCAAACUCGGAGAUAGCUGGUUCUCCGCGAAAUCUAUUUAGGUAGAGCGUCAUCCGAAUACCCCGGGGGGUAGAGCACUGGAUGGGUAAUGGGGCCCCACAGGCUUACUGAUCCUAACCAAACUCCGAAUACCCGGGAGUACUAGAUGGCAGACACACCGUGGAUGCUAACGUCCAUGGUGGAGAGGGAAACAACCCUGACCUCCAGCUAAGGCCCCCAAUUCAUGGCUAAGUGGGAAAGCAGGUGGGACGACCAAAACAACCAGGAGGUUGGCUUAGAAGCAGCCAUCCUUUAAAGAUAGCGUAACAGCUCACUGGUCUAAACAAGUUGUCCUGCGGCGAAGAUGUAACGGGGCUCAAGCCAUGAGCCGAAGCUGAGGAUGCCGUAAGGCAUGGUAGCGGAGCGUAGUGUGAUACAGCUUCAUGCCUCCUUCACUCCCUUCGGGAGUAUUGGAGGCGAGAAGCUUUCUGUGAAGCCGGGGCGUGAGCCAUCCGGUGGAGAGAUCACUAGCGAGAAUGAUGACAUGAGUAGCGACAAACAGGGUGAGAGACCCUGUCGCCGAAAGUCCAAGGGUUCCUGCUUAAAGCUAAUCUGAGCAGGGUAAGCCGGCCCCUAAGGCGAGGCCGAAAGGCGUAGUCGAUGGGAACCAGUUUAAUAUUACUGGGCCAGGAGGAUGUGACGGAUUGUGGCGGCGUGCGUGCCUUAUCGGAUUGGCGCGUAUCCAAGACAGUCCCUGGAAAUAGCCCUCCAUCAGACCGUACCCCAAACCGACACAGGUGGACUGGUAGAGAAUACCAAGGCGCUUGAGAGAACGAUGUUGAAGGAACUCGGCAAAAUACCUCCGUAAGUUCGCGAGAAGGAGGCCCGGGCCGCGUGGUCCGGGGGCACAAACCAGGGGGUGGCGACUGUUUACUAAAAACACAGGGCUCUGCGAAGUCGCAAGACGACGUAUAGGGUCUGACGCCUGCCCGGUGCCUGAAGGUUAAAAGGAGGGGUGAGAGCUCCGAAUUGAAGCCCAGGUAAACGGCGGCCGUAACUAUAACGGUCCUAAGGUAGCGAAAUUCCUUGUCGGGUAAGUUCCGACCUGCACGAAUGGCGUAACGACUUCCCCGCUGUCUCCAACAUCGACUCAGCGAAAUUGAAUUGCCGGUCAAGAUGCCGGCUACCCGCGGUUAGACGGAAAGACCCCGUGCACCUUCACUACAGCUUCGCACUGGCAUCAGGCACAACAUGUGCAGGAUAGGUGGUAGGCUUCGAAGCAGGGACGCCAGUUCCUGUGGAGCCAUCCUUGAGAUACCACCCUUGUUCUGCUUGAUGUCUAACCGCGGUCCGUUAUCCGGAUCCGGGACCCUGCGUGGCGGGUAGUUUGACUGGGGCGGUCGCCUCCUAAAUCGUAACGGAGGCGCGCGAAGGUUGGCUCAGAGCGGUCGGAAAUCGCUCGUUGAGUGCAAUGGCAGAAGCCAGCCUGACUGCGAGACUGACAAGUCGAGCAGAGACGAAAGUCGGCCAUAGUGAUCCGGUGGUCCCAAGUGGGAGGGCCAUCGCUCAACGGAUAAAAGGUACGCCGGGGAUAACAGGCUGAUACUGCCCAAGAGUCCAUAUCGACGGCAGUGUUUGGCACCUCGAUGUCGGCUCAUCUCAUCCUGGGGCUGGAGCAGGUCCCAAGGGUAUGGCUGUUCGCCAUUUAAAGAGGUACGUGAGCUGGGUUUAGAACGUCGUGAGACAGUUCGGUCCCUAUCUGCCGUGGGUGUAGGAUACUUGAGAGGAGUUGCCCCUAGUACGAGAGGACCGGGGUGAACGAUCCACUGGUGGACCUGUUGUGGCGCCAGCCGCAGUGCAGGGUAGCUAUGAUCGGACGGGAUAACCGCUGAAGGCAUCUAAGCGGGAAGCCCCCCUCAAAACAAGGUAUCCCUGAGGGCCGUGGUAGACCACCACGUCGAUAGGCCGGAGGUGUAAGCGUGGCAACACGUUCAGCUGACCGGUACUAAUGGCCCGACAGGCUUGAUCC